AAGCUACGGAUCUGCUCAGAGAAAUCUGCAAAUCUCGUGUAAAAAUAAGUGAAGCUUUGUGCCAAUUAUUAGGCCUAAGCAGAAGUUUGGGAGAGACAGAAGUUACUUAUUUGCCUGAUUCCGCACGCUGAGUCCAUGGGGAGGGAAUGAAGUGUACCGCUGGCUUGACAAGCAGCACAGGGAGACGCGGCUGCAGCCCACAGGACUGGGUAGCAGCUGCAAGGCUGCCUCUGAGCAUGGUCAUGGGUCCCAGCCGCAGUGCUCUAAAGAUCAAGCAUUUUGCCUUCUAUUUUCUAUGACCAGAGAUUCCCGUGCAAAGAGAGAGUGUCAAUGAAGACCUCAAAGUCUGGAGAAAAAUGACCUUUCAUGGAAUACAAAAUAUACCUCCUGCUACGUGUUUUUGUCUUACUGACCUCUGAUAACUGAAACACAUGGCUCUGAGUCUGUAGAAAGUCAACUGAUCAAACUCCUCCUCGCCAUGCAUCAACUUUUCAGACUGGUUUUGGGACAAAAAGAUCUCUCACGAGCUGGGGACCUCUUCUCCUUAGAUGACUCUGAGAUUGAAGACAGCCUGACAGAAGCUUUGGAGCAAAUUAAGAUAAUUAGCUCAUCUUCAGAUUACCAAACCAAUAACAAUGACCAGGCAGUAGUUGAAAUCUGUAUCACGAGAAUCACAACAGCCAUCAGAGAGACUGAGUCCAUUGAAAAGCAUGCAAAGGCCCUCGUGGGGCUCUGGGACUCCUGCUUGGAACAUAACCUGAGACCCUUUGGGAAAGAUGAAGAUACUCCUCAUGCAAAAAUCGCAUCUGAUAUCAUGAGUUGCAUUUUACAGAAUUACAACAGACCCUCCGUGAUGGCAUUAGCCAUCCCCAUUGCAGUGAAAUUCCUCCACAGAGGCAACAAAGAACUGUGCAGGAAUAUGUCUAACUACCUGUCUCUGGCCGCAAUUACCAAGGCAGAUCUUCUGGCUGAUCACACAGAAGUUAUAGUAAAGAGCAUACUCCAAGGUAACACCAUGUUGUUGAGAGUGUUACCUGCUGUGUAUGAAAAGCAGCCUCAGCCAAUUAAUAGACACCUGACAGAACUCUUGGCCUUAAUGUCUCAGCUGGAACAGCCAGAACAAUACCAUCUACUACGGCUUCUGCAUGUAGCAGCAAAGAAAAAACAACUGGAGGUAGUUCAGAAGUGUAUUCCUUUCCUAAUUGGGCAUUUGAAGGAUUCAACCCAUAAUGACAUCAUCCUAAACAUCCUUAUAGAGAUAGCAAGCUACGAGCCGGUGGCUUUGAACAGUUUUCUUCCAAUGCUGAAGGAGAUUGGUGAGAGAUUCCCCUACCUCAUUGGACAGAUGGCAAGGAUUUAUGGAGCUGUUGGGCAUGUGGAUGAAGAAAGCAGCUGAAUGGAUAGGCAUAUGUGGGACCAGUCAAAAUCAGGAGACAGAAUUGGAAUGAGGCACCAUAGACAACCACGUGUAUCACUAAAGCUGGAAAGGAGAACUGGCUACACAUUUUUUUCUUUUUUAAGAAAUAACUGGUGUAUGUAGAUUUUUCUUCCUCAGGGUAGAAUGUAUAUCUGUUUUACAUUGACAUCACAGACCACCAUUCCUGGGAGAAAUGAGGAUAACAAAAAUAAUAGCUUCAUUUUAUAAAACUUCAUAAAUUAAAAUAGGCCUUGUUUUCUUGGGCCACUGGAAGUACACUGCUUUCCAUAAAGGGUAGGUCGUCCCCAUGCCCCCACCUAUUUAAACAGCUCAAAUAAGUUUGCAGCCAUUUUUAUAAAACUCUUAUGAACUAAAUCUGCAGUGGUUUAAGUUAAGCCCAAACUAAGCUGAUGUUUUUUGUCCAUGGAGGACUGAAAUAGAAUGUUUGUUUCCACUUUAGAGGGUUUUACUUUUUCAUUUUUUCUUCCCUAAUUAGACUCUCUUAGCCAUGCCAGUGGUCUCAGCCCACUUGUUAGGUAUUAUCGCUAUUAUAGCCCUCUUUCCUAACAUGGGUCAACUUGGAAAAGAGAAUGCUUUAGGAAUGACAUUGUUUCUUGAGAGGCCAACUUGAAUUCAUGCAUCUUUCCAUCUAUUUAAGUCUCAAAUAAGUGGACUGAAACAAAUUUUAGUUUAAUAGUCAUCUUUACUUUAGGAACUGGUCAUAUUAGAAAGCCCAUACCACUAUGUAGCAUGCACUCCAUUACCAUGCCCCUCCUCUGUGCCAUACCUACAAGGCAGCAGACCUAGUGGUGGAAACAGAGACGAGGUGCUUCAAAUUUUUUUUUACAGAUAAUCUGAUAGCACAUGGAAAGGUUCUAUGGCCACUUGUUUUUCCUUCACUGCAGACCAAUAGCCCACAUCUAUGAAGAAUCAAAUGGCAUGUCCCUGAGUGCAGCUGCUGCCAUCGUGUGUGUUAAAUCCUGUGCCCUCUGCCUUGUUUUUCUAACUAGCUGGAAUAUGCUGGCUAAGCAUCAGGGCGUGUUCAUUACAUCCUCUCUGGGCUCAGAGUCAUGGACACUUUUCAAGUAAAGAAGUGACACACAUCUUGCCCAGGUCGCAUUUCUGUGACAUCCGGCAUGCCUACAAAAACACUUUCAGGAGGAAAAGGAAAAGAAUGACAAAGGCAGCUGAGAACCACAUUACUGUCCUCAUCCUGGCUGUUGAAUAACAUCCUGAGAAAUGGGAGCUGGGUGGAUGAUUUACACCUUUAAAUUACAAAUCAAGGCUAAAAAAAAAUCUGGGGCCAUUCUACAAGAGGAAGGACCUGUGACUUAAAAGCACAAUUUCCCCAAGGAUGAUCGACUUAGUUAAAACUUUGUGAUACAGGGCAGAGCUGCUGAUUCUUUCCAAAUAUAAGGUCCAAUACUGGUGAUGAAGACACAGAGGAGAGAAAGACAUGGUCCCUGCCCUAGAGGAGCUCACAAUUUGGGAUGAAGAAGAUGUAAAAACAGAAAUUGGAAUUAAAUUUGUUACUUGCUGUUACUGAAUUUUGAACUGGACCAGGAAGGAAGGAACUAACCCCAUGUGGGGGAGUUUUAGAGGAGCAUUAUAAGUUUGGCUUGUAAGAUGAUAGGGUUAUGUCAGGGGAAGAGGAGGAAGGUAUCCAUGGGAAGUCAUCACAUUCAGUGGCAAUCAGCCAGGAAAAGGUCUUGAGUCUUCUAGAAAUUGUGAAGGACUUCAAGUGCUUGGAGCAUAGGAUGAAGAAUGGAGGGGAGGGAGAGAGAUGAAGCUGGACAGUGGGCUAGGUCAGAUUAUGAAAACUCCUUAUUGAUUAGCAGAUAGUUCCUGUUUUCUACCUUCUCUUGGCUGAUUCUAGGAACAAUAUUUUAUUUCCCUUCAUAGGACAGAUAAGUAAAUGUAAUCCUAUGUACCCUAGAGUUCCUAAGAAACUAAAAGCUGGCGAAAGGACAAACAGUCCCAAAAUACUUGUAAAUUUAGAGUAGUAAGUGAUGGUUACAAAGGUUACAUGUUGCAAAAAUUUUUAACAAUGUCUUGUAAUUAUCAGCUGUAAUUUGGGCCAACUGACCAAAUCCACAGAGGACCUGCAGCUCCCUGUGAGCUGGACAGCUUCGCAAGUCCCAUGACAUGACUGCACAUAGAAGGGAUGUCUGCAUGACCAGGAUCAAACCCCAGAAGUAGGCAGUCUGGUCCCCAGAGAUUUUAUCUUUCUCUUUCCAGAGGAGGACCAUCUGACUUUCUUACACUGGUGUCUUGGAGGGAAGUAGGUGCUGCCUCAAGAAAGGCAGGAAGCCACCACUUAGUAAGUGCCCUUUCUAGCCAUGAGCCUAAGAAGUGAACAAACCUCAGAUUCACCAGAAAGGACAACUGGGCAUUGGCAGCAGAUUGGUUGAAGAGGACAAAGCAGCUGCUAAUUCCAGUUCAAAUCCUGAUGCUCUUUUAAGAUGAUAGCAGGUCCUCACCCUGCCUGUAGCUCUCAGACCAAAAUCACUUAAUUUCUAACUACUUCCAAUGGUUAGUAUUUGAAUUUCUUUGCCUAUGGCUUCCCCAACUUCACAAACCAUUCUGCUAACACACAUGGUGUAUGCAUAUGUGAGGAAUGAAUAUUGUCUCAUGGCAUUCCACAACCAGUGAUGGGAGUUGGUGUAUUGUCAACUCCCAUAACUCCUUUACCCCUCAAAUGAAAUAAACUCCCCCUAGAAUUUUCCAGACUACUUUUUGAGCUGCUUGCCUUCUCUUUCUCACUCUUCUAUUCCCCUGUUGGUUUCCUGAAGUUUCCAAAUAAAUGAUUUGCACUUAAAUCAUCUCAGGGUCUGCCCAUUUCUGGGAAGCCCAAUCCAAGACAAAGACAUUUCUAGAACUUCCGCAAGCCACUGCAAUCUGCCCUGCUCUGAAUAUACAUUUGAGAAUGUACAUCUAUAACACAGAGUUUAGCAUCUGAUUGUUUUCCAGUUGCAUUUUCUUUUUAUUUAUUUGGUGCGUGAAUACAUACACUCCCAACCCACUAUAAGCACUCUGAAGGAAGGAACCAUACCUUACCCCUCCUCAUGACCCCGGCACAACCCUUCCAAGUAAUUAGCUCAUAGCAAGUGGUUCACAGGUACUUGCCAACUAACUGUUCCAUAGAGACUGGGACUUGACUGACCAUCAGUAUCUUUUACUAGUAGAUGGCAUCUGAUGACAUGACAGGUUGGGUUUGAGGAGACCAGGAAAACUAUAGACAUUGGGUUCCAGUCAACAGUUGUGGCUACUGGUUUUUCAGGAUCUGCCAGUCUCCAUCCCAUGUGGUCCCCAAAGUGCUCAGACAAGCAGUAUUGAGUGUCACUCAGGAACUUGAAUCAGAAUCCAUAAUUUAACAAGAUGCCCAAGUGGCGUGUAUGCACAUGAAAGUAGAAGUAGUACUGUUCCUGAGGAUCCAGGCCCUACAGGAUUUAUCUGCUAUAGAACCUGGAGGAGUCUAGACAUGCCCACACAUAUAUAUACAUGCUUGAUGCAUAUAUGUUUCCAGACAUACACACAGCUAUACCCACACAGUUUUCUUUGUGAGACCCACUUGUUUUUAUGUAAAUAAUCAAUAACCUUUUACAGUCAUAAUCUUUGAUAAUGUCUGUAUAUACAUGAAGUCAGGAAAUAUCAUGCAUUAUUGACAAUACAGUUUAUGAACAUUUAUCCAACACCUGCUGUAUGCAAGGCAGUAUAAGGAGUGCAAUGUUAAAUAAAAUUCAAUCCCUCUGCUAUAAAAAAGGACUUUUUUAUUCACUUAGAAAUGAUCCUUUACUCACUUGAGCCCAGGAGUUCAAGGCAGUGAGCUAUGAUUGUGCCUCUACACUCCAGUGUGGUAACAAAGCAAGACGCCCUCUC